rnacentral:rRNA from 1 species
UACGUAGGGUGCGAGCGUUGUCCGGAAUUAUUGGGCGUAAAGAGCUCGUAGGUGGCGGGUCACGUCGGGUGUGAAAAGCCCCGGGGCUUAACUCCGGGUCUGCAUUCGAUACGGGUCUGCUGGGGUCCGGCAGGGGAGACUGGAAUUCCUGGUGUAGCGGUGAAAUGCGCAGAUAUCAGGAGGAACACCGGUGGCGAAGGCGGGUCUCUGGGCCGGUACCGACGCUGAGGAGCGAAAAGCGUGGGGGGAGCGAACAGG